AUGAACGCUGGCGGCGUGCCUAAUACAUGCAAGUCGAGCGAACGGACGAGAAGCUUGCUUCUCUGAUGUUAGCGGCGGACGGGUGAGUAACACGUGGAUAACCUACCUAUAAGACUGGGAUAACUUCGGGAAACCGUAGCUAAUACCGGAUAAUAUUUUGAACCGCAUGGUUCAAAAGUGAAAGACGGUCUUGCUGUCACUUAUAGAUGGAUCCGCGCUGCAUUAGCUAGUUGGUAAGGUAACGGCUUACCAAGGCAACGAUGCAUAGCCGACCUGAGAUGGUGAUCGGCCACACUGGAACUGAGACACGGUCCAGACUCCUACGGGAGGCAGCAGUAGGGAAUCUUCCGCAAUGGGCGAAAGCCUGACGGAGCAACGCCGCGUGAGUGAUGAAGGUCUUCGGAUCGUAAAACUCUGUUAUUAGGGAAGAACAUAUGUGUAAGUAACUGUGCACAUCUUGACGGUACCUAAUCAGAAAGCCACGGCUAACUACGUG
rnacentral:rRNA from 1 species